GAUGAACGCUGGCGGCGUGCCUAAUACAUGCAAGUCGAGCGAACAGACGAGGAGCUUGCGCCUCUGACGUUAGCGGCGGACGGGUGAGUAACACGUGGAUAACCUACCUAUAAGACUGGGAUAACUUCGGGAAACAGGAGCUAAUACCGGAUAAUAUAUUGAACCGCAUGGUUCAAUAGUGAAAGACGGUUUUGCUGUCACUUAUAGAUGGAUACGCGCCGCCUUAGCAAGUUGGUAAGGUAACGGCUUACCAAGGCGGCGAUGCGUAGCCGACCCGAGAGGGUGAGGCGCGACAGUGGUACUGCGACGCGCACCUGACACCUACGGGAGGCAGCGUUAGGGAAGCGUCCGCAAUGGGCGAAAGCCUGACGGAGCAACGCCGGUCUGGUGCUGCAGGUCUUCGGGUCGUAGCACUCUGUUAUUAUGGUAGACCAAAUGUGUAAGUAACUAUGCACGUUGUGACGGUACCUAGUCAGAAAGCCACGGCUAACUACGUG
rnacentral:rRNA from 1 species